UGCAAUGAAAGCUUUUGUAGGCUCCGCUUACUGCAAAUCCUUCCAGCUCCAGUUUUGGGAAGGGACGUUAGGUGAAGCUUGACCCAUAGGUCCAAACUCAGAGAGCGUUUAUGGGGUAGGAGGGGGUGCUGUGUCCUUGAGUAGUUUCCCCCUUUUUUUAGCCUCUUACCCACACUCACAACCUUCUCCUGCUUAGCUCUCAGCGGGGAGCAAUGGGAGCGUUCAGCACCAACGACACUAUCCUGAGCCAAGCGAAUGCGGGAGCUUUCAGCACCUUGGAGAGCUCCCCGCACGGCAAUGAUAAUAACCGGCAAAGAGGAAUACCUCGCUGGGACUCUCCUUGGCUCUCUCUCUCUCUCUCUCUCUCUCUCUCUCUGCGACUCUUUCUCCUCCGGCUUCCUUUAGUGGGUCCUCCUUCUCCCGCGAUCAGCCGGGUCCAUGCGUGGCAAGGCGUGGGCUUGCAGGGCAGGGCAGGGCCAGGAAGAAGUUCUCCUUUCCCUUUCUUUCCCCGCGUGUCCGGACAGGACCAGGAUGAGGCAGCAAAGCGAGGAAGGAAGGAAGGAAGGACGCGUCGCGGCAGCUCCUUGACUUUCACGGCUCCCUCUUUUUAUCACGGGAUUUCCGGGACCAUCCCACUGACACGCUUCCCGCCUUACACGCGACGCGGACGCCUUCCUCCUCCUACUGAUGCUGCUGGGUCGGCAUUUCUCUCUUCCUCCUCCUUCUCUUCCUCUUCCUCCUCCCCUCCUUUCAGCAUUAAGGUCUUCGCGACUUCUGCCGCAAGAGGUUACUGGGCGCACACCUGCACUUGUGGGGCGGAUUGAGGGAUCCCCAAAGCGGGGAGGGUUCUAAUGCAAUGGGAUCCCCAACUUGCAGCCGUCUGGGCACCUUAACAAAAACACUGCCCUGCCCCUAAGCCGUUGGAACAGGUUGUAAAAUGCGCCCUGAUUUUUGAUGCAUCACUCUUUGGGAGACUUGAAGCAAUAAGGGAUGACCUGCAAAUGUGACGCCAUUGUAGAUCUACUGUACAUCAAAUUUCAAACCCAGGGCAUGUCUAUGCAGUCUCUACAGGGUUUCUGCUGUCAGUUUAUACAUUUCAUAAGGGUUUCUUAAGUACAUGAAGGUGGUUUUGCCUGUCAGUCCUCUAAAAUAUUGCCAUCAACAUCUGGUAUUCAGGGUUUAUAGUUUAUACUUACCUAGAAAUAGUCUAACUGCACUGAAUGAAUAUUUUUAAAGUAUGCGUAUAUAUGCUCAUGUUGCCCAUCCCACAACAAACAGCACCGAAAACACGCUCCUUUACCUUCAUGAAAAUCUCAUACCACCUGAAGCCCCCAGUGCAAACUGGGAAGAUGCAUUUCUCCUGGUCUAUAUGGGCUUUACCUUCAUUGUCGUAAGUAAGCUCACAAGAGAAAUUAAGGGCAUAAAAACAUUUGAGAUCAUUGAGAACUGUCAUUCUAUGCACCUCUCCAAAUUAUAAAUGCCAGGAUUCCAUAAAAUAGAGCCAUCACAUUUCAAAUAAUGUCAAAUUGUCAUAGCAGAAUAAUGCAGAUACAGUCAUUGAUCCAGAUUCUAAGUUAUUUCUUCUUUCAUGUGAGUAAGAGACAGUUUUGACUAAGGUGACAGCCAUCUACACUGGCAGUAUAAUGCAGAUUGAACUGCAUUAUAUGGUCAAUGCAGACUCAUAUAAUCCAGUUCAAUGCAGUUAAACUAGAUUAUAGAGUCUAUACUACAAUGCAGUUCACUCUCUACAACAUUUGUAAACUUUCCUCCAUUCCCUGUCUCACACCAAUUCCAGAAUUUUCCAAUCCUAAAAUUUUUUUCAACUCACAAUUCCUGACCAAAAAUAAACAAACGCAUCCUGUCCCCAAACACCCAUCCAUUUUACACCCCUCUAGACUCAUUGCAAGACAAAGCAUGACUUGCUUCCUAAAUGUCCACAUUCAUGAGACAUUGUGAAAAAUUUUUUUGCACAAAUAAACAAUGCACAAAGCUAUUAUACUGGAUAAAAUGCCUCACUUCAACAACUGGAUAAAAUGCCUCACUUCAAGUUAAAUGAUUAGUGUGAAGCUUGCAGAGAAAAAUGUAAACAAAAAUGCUGGGAAAGAAACACGCAUUCCUUGGAAAGAACAGAGAGCAAAAGCCUCCGUCCAACUGUUGUUUUUCUCUAGAGUAGACCUGUUGAAUCAAAGGAACAUAUGUAAAUGUUGACUUUCUGAAUUCUGGUUCAUUCACUGGAUCUAGUCUAGUUAGAAAUCAUUGGCCAACACACAUUUUGGUGCCUCAAAUAUUAAACCUAUUUCAGAGUAAAUUUGACAUGCUGAUUUCAGGAAUAGCACCAGUUUUCCCUAUCAGAUCUAGUUUUUGAGAUACAAGACAUUUGGCAUCUACCAGUUGCCAUCCGCUAACCCAUAGAAAACUAUUAUAAUGGUAUCUAAGAAACUAGAGCUGAUGCGAUCUAUUCAAUGCAAUUUUCUGAAUCAGUGCCCCUAAUAACUCCAGGAACAGGCCUAAAAAUGAAGAGACCAAGAUUUUUUUUGGUUGGGCUGUGUAAUAAUUGGAUUUAGGCCUUUGAGUCUUACAAGAGCAUGCAGUACAAUGAUGGGCUGAGAAUGAAGGUGAGAUUCGGAACAAGGUAACAAAAUUGAGGAUAAGAGAUUUCACAACCUUCCCUUCAAGUGCACAUUUUUGAGGGAGCCCAGGAAGAAGAGAAGAGAAGCCAGAAAACAGAAGAAAUAAGCCCUGUUCCAGAAAGGGCCUUGGGUUCCAUGUCUCCAUAUUUUCUGUAUGUAAUUAUGCCAAUUUCUAUUCCUCUUGAGCACUUUUAUCCCUUUGCUAUAUCUUCACUAUAAGAACUGCCAGCGGUUGAUUUUUCUAUAAAGGAAAGUCACUGGGAAGCUAUUUUGAAUUAUGUUAAAUAGUUGCAAUAGAUGGGAUUGGUGCAUUCAUUUAUCAAAUUUGUAUAUUUUUAAAACUUAAAAUGGACUUGAGUUGCCAGUAAUUAGUUCCUAAUCCAAAAGACACAUGGGCUUAGAUGUUACUGAAGUGCAGCUUCUGUUUUGCAGUUUUCUUUGUACCCCAGUCUAUACUCAAACACCUCUAAGAGUGACCACAGUUGAUUUUCAGUGGGCUUAAACAAUACAUUGAACUCUGUACUGGAUUUCAGCCAGCUGGAAUAAACUAAUACAGUGGCUCAGAGCCAAGGCAGACAUUAGCACUGCCUGCUAACUGUUGCAAAUAACCAGCUCAUGGAGCGGAACUAUGCCUGAGAGAGUCUAACCUCAGAACUGCCAAGUCAUGCAAGGUUGCUCUUUCUCUCAUACAAACAGAAAGAAAGUACAAGCUGAGUUUUUCCUAUGUGCCAAAGGAGAUCUGCAUAUUCCAGUGAGUCCAGUCUUCCAUUGCUAAAAGGCUCAUGUGAACUGACCUCUUGCCAGAUAAGUGGUUACCAGUAAAAUCUGCAAUAAACAAACAAACCAACACAAUGGUACAGCGCAACCUUGUGCCCUUGAGAAGUGCACCAUGAAUAGUACAAAACGAGAAUCAAAAAAUGUAUGCUGUGUGAGAUGUAUGCAUUUCUUGCACAAGGCCCUUAGAUAUACAGUAGAGUCUCACUUUUCCAACACUCACUUAUCCAACAUUCUGGAUUAUCCAACGCAUUGUUGUGGUCAAUGUUUUCAAUACAUCGUGAUAUUUUGAUGCUAAAUUCGUAAAUACAGUAAUUACUACAUAGCAUUACUGCGUAUUGAAUUACUUUUUCUGUCAAAUUUGUUGUAUAACAUGAUGUUUUGGUGCUUAAUAUGUAAAAUCAUAACCUAAUUUGAUAUUUAAUAGGCUUUUCCUUAAUGCCUCCUUAUUAUCCAAUAUAUUCACUUAUCCAACGUUCUGCCGGCCCGUUUAUGUUGGAUAAGUGACACUCUAUUGUAUUGUAUGUUGAUAUAAUUCAUCAGAUCUUUCACGCUACAUAAUCUAGUGUUAUCUUUCCACUUGAACUGCUGUAGUAAUAUCCUACAGAAUCCUGGAGAUUAGCAGUUUAGAGAGAAAGAGAUUUAGAAUUCCCAGGCUCUUCUUGUGCUUCUAACUAAACCACAUAUUUCAAGAGUCCAUAGGGACCGCCCUGAAAGUUAAAAUGGAACCAUAGUGCUAUAACUCUGCAAUGUGAAAAGAAUGUGUUAACAGCCAUUCUUAACACAGAUGCCCCAGUUUACAGGUAGCUCCUCGGAUUCUGUAACUUUUUGGAGAGUAGGGUUCAGCAACUGGACCCAUCCAAUCCAACAGCCCUAAACCUGAGAUGUGGAUCCAGCAGAUCCCUUUAGACCAGUGGUUUCCAACCUGUGGUCCAUGGACCACCAGUGGUUCCCAAGAACUAAAAUAUGGUCUGCAACGAGAGUGACUGGUCUCACAAAACCUUCUUAUAGUGCCAAGGCAACAGGGAUGUCAGGAAGAGAGAAGCUGACUACCUAGAAAAGGCAUGCAACAAGCCUCCUGACUGUUGCUUCUCCUCCUUCUCCCUCCCCCUGAGUGGAGCCAUUCCAUGUGGUGCCUGAGAGCGAAGCCGCCUUGGUGUCUUCAUUUUUAGGCCUGUUCCUGGGGUUAUUUGGGGUGCUGAUUCAGAAAAUUGCAUUGGACCACAUCAGCUCUAGAUUAUUAAAUAUGGUUUUCUGUGAGCAAGCUAAUGCCAACUACUGUGUAGCAUAUGUUCUGUAUCAGAAACUAGAGCUGAUGGGGUCUAUCCAAUGCCAUUUUCUGAAUCAGCACCCCAAAUAACCUAACCAAAUCUAAAGUUGAUCAAGCACUGAUUCAUAACCCUUUUGGUACUAAUGUUGGAGAGUGGUCCUUCGUCAAGUGGUCCCUGGUCAAGUGGUCUCUGGUGAAAAAAAGGUUGGGAAUCACUGCUUUAGACAGAUUCAAGCACAGAGACUGAAGAGUAAAAUGCAGCCUCCAAAGAAGCAAAGUGUCUGGCAGGGAGGAGCUAAACUCCUUUGGGAGGCUAUGAAAUACUUGGCAGUCAAUGCUCCACUCCCAUUAGAAAUUGGAUAUCAGAGAACCUCUCAAAAGGAGGCACUCUGCAUGUAUUCUGGAAACGGAUAUAGAUUCAUAGGACUAAAGUCCCCAGGCCAAAGGAAAAUGUAUACGUGCCCUGGAAUCAAUAUGUUCAUAAGGGAAGAAAGUGUUCAUAAGGGAAGAAAAUAGCUGGGCAUGGCCUUUUACAUAAAAGGGGAAGACACUCGUAUAACCAUGCAGCUUCCAAUCUGUUGGCACAAACUAAAAAAGCAUGGAAAAAGCAGGCCCUCAGCAGCUUCCCUGAUAGGAUUGCUCUAUCCUUGCAUGUUUCCAAUUAGCUUAGCAUUACUUGCUGCAGAGCAAGAAAAAUCAGACACGGAACUAAUUAGCAGAAUCAAAAAUGUGGCCUUUGGUUUAGCUAACCCAUGUCAUUUGUUCACAAGAUAUUAAAAAUAAGUGAGGAAAAUGGAGAUAACAGAAUUAAUUUAUUCUCCCUCUUUUCAAGUUCUUAGGAUGAGAGAGGAAGAGCUAUAUGCAGCAUCUCCUUGGGUACUGAGUAUUGAGAGAUGAUGAUGAUGAUGAUGAUGAUGAUGAUGAUUUUUAUCUGUCUCUUCACCAUACAACAUACUAUAAGUUAAAAACACAACCAAGUUGAAAAAUCAAUUUAAAGGAACACAAAACUCAACACAUAUUAAAACAGUCAGUUCAUAAUUCAAAAUUCAUAGUUUUAAAAUCAUAAUUUUAAAAAUCAGCCCGAUAGACCAGCCAAAAGAGACUGAUCUUUAUUGCUGUUUUAAAUUCACUCAUCUUAUGUAGUGGUUAAAGCUCUUCUGGCAGGUCAUUCCACAAUCUAGGGACAACUAGAGAAAAAGGCCCAAUGGAUGACUAUCACCAGACUAGUCAUGACUGACUGGAAUAAGAGCCCUCCACUUCCAAGUGUGUGGGAGAGAUUAUACAGGAGGAGAAGAUCCCAGAGGUAACCUGCACUGAAACCAUGUAGGUCUUUAAAGGGAAAUGCCAAUACUUGGAAGCCAGUGAGGUAACUUUAGUACAGGUGUAAUAAUACUAAGAUUAUUUGAUCAUAAUUUGAUCAUCAUUCUCAACUUCGAGAUAGAAUUACUGAAAGGAGACAUAUAUUUUGCAAUUCCAUGAUUGUCCUGAGAUACCAUGUUUGACAUUAAGGAUGUGCAAAAUGCAGUCCAUGGGCUAUAUAACAACAACAACAACAACAACAACAACAACAACAACAACAACAACAAUUUUAUUCUUAUAAAGUUACUCAGGGUGGCUCACAUGGGGACCAAGCCCAGCAAUACACAAUAAAUCACAUAAAUACAUUUAAAACAUAUAAACAUAAAAUCAUAAAACAAUAUGAUAAAAUCAUAAAACAAUAGUAGCAAUAGCUACUAGUUUACUGGGGACAAGGCAAAUGUUGUCUGUGUACAAUAUCUUAUAAACAUCUAGUGAAUAGAUAUGUACCCUUUAGGGCCCAGUUUGCAGCUCCUCGAAUCCCAAAGCUUCCAAACUUCUCAACCUCAAGGAAUUAAUAGUAGUCAUUUACUCUUAUGGAUAAAAGUCAAGGGACCCAACGCAAGUAAGGGAGUCAUGGAUCUAGGAUUCCUCUCUCUAGGGUGGGGUGUUUCUUUUCAUAGCAACCUUGCUUAGUUAUUUUGUCUAAUAAGAUUCAGCGGGAUUGCUAAUAAAUCAAAUAAAUUCUUUA